AAAACUACACUUUCAGGGAUCAUUUCUAUAGUUUGCCACUAGAGAAGUUUCUCUGUGUAGAGUACCAGGAAGCAUGAGGAGGAGAUGCAGUGCUCUUUCCUGAGCAUGAAGCUGGCUCGAGUGCUGCUCUUAGAUAGCUGUCUUUGCCGUUGAUGAUCAUUCUGCUCUGCCUCUGGUGGAGUUGGAGGGAGAGAAUACAGUCUAUGUGGC
ensembl:snoRNA U3 Small nucleolar RNA U3